GCCAGGCGUGGUGGCUCACGCCUGUAAUCCCAGCACUUUGGGAGGCUGAGACGGGUGGAUCACCUGAGGUUGGGAGUUCAAGACCAGCCUGACCAACAUGGAGAAACCCCGUCUCUA
rnacentral:SRP_RNA from 1 species